GACGAACGCUGGCGGCGUGCCUAAUACAUGCAAGUAGAACGCUGAAGAGAGGAGCUUACUCUUCUUGGAUGAGUUGCGAACGGGUGAGUAACGCGUAGGUAACCUGCCUUGUAGCGGGGGAUAACUAUUGGAAACGAUAGCUAAUACCGCAUAACAAUGGAUGACACAUGUCAUUUAUUUGAAAGGGGCAAUUGCUCCACUACAAGAUGGACCUGCGUUGUAUUAGCUAGUAGGUGAGGUAAUGGCUCACCUAGGCGACGAUACAUAGCCGACCUGAGAGGGUGGUCGGCCACACUGGGACUGAGACACGGCCCAGACUCCUACGGGAGGCAGCAGUAGGGAAUCUUCGGCAAUGGGGGCAACCCUGACCGAGCAACGCCGCGUGAGUGAAGAAGGUUUUCGGAUCGUAAAGCUCUGUUGUAAGUCAAGAACGGGUGUGAGAGUGGAAAGUUCACACUGUGACGGUAGCUUACCAGAAAGAGACGGCUAACUACGUG
rnacentral:rRNA from 1 species